CGAAGCCGGAGGAUUUCUGAAAAUCUGAAAAUGCCCUCCGGCGGACUGCCUCCGAACGAAGGUGAGGGGGGCGAUACAAGAA
rnacentral:sRNA from 1 species